AAUCUUCCACAAUGGACGAAAGUCUGAUGGAGCAACGCCGCGUGAGUGAAGAAGGGUUUCGGCUCGUAAAACUCUGUUGUUAAAGAAGAACAUAUCUGAGAGUAACUGUUCAGGUAUUGACGGUAUUUAACCAGAAAGCCACGGCUAACUACGUGCCAGCAGCCGCGGUAAUACGUAGGUGGCAAGCGUUGUCCGGAUUUAUUGGGCGUAAAGCGAGCGCAGGCGGUUUUUUAAGUUUGAUGUGAAAGCCUUCGGCUCAACCGAAGAAGUGCAUCGGAAACUGGGAAACUUGAGUGCAGAAGAGGACAGUGGAACUCCAUGUGUAGCGGUGAAAUGCGUAGAUAUAUGGAAGAACACCAGUGGCGAAGGCGGCUGUCUGGUCUGUAACUGACGCUGAGGCUCGAAAGUAUGGGUAGCAAACAGGAUUAGAUACCCUGGUAGUCCAUACCGUAAACGAUGAAUGCUAAGUGUUGGAGGGUUUCCGCCCUUCAGUGCUGCAGCUAACGCAUUAAGCAUUCCGCCUGGGGAGUACGGCCGCAAGGCUGAAACUCAAAGGAAUUGACGGGGGCCCGCACAAGCGGUGGAGCAUGUGGUUUAAUUCGAAGCUACGCGAAGAACCUUACCAGGU
rnacentral:rRNA from 2 species